AUUGAACGCUGGCGGCAGGCCUAACACAUGCAAGUCGAACGAGUGGCGGACGGGUGAGUAAUGUCUGGGAAACUGCCCGAUGGAGGGGGAUAACUACUGGAAACGGUAGCUAAUACCGCAUACCAUCGGAUGUGCCCCGCUGGGAUUAGCUACUAGGUGGGGUAAUGGCUCACCUAGGCGACGAUCCCUCGCUGGUCUGAGAGGAUGACCAGCCACACUGGAACGGAGACACGGUCCAGACUCCUACGGGAGGCAGCAGUGGGGAAUAUUGGACAAUGGGCGCAAGGCUGAUGCGGCCAUGCCGCGUGUAUGAAGAAGGCCUUCGAGUUGUAAAGUACUUUCAGCGAGGAGGCGUUACUCGCAGAAGAAGCACCGGCUAACUCCGUGCCAGCAGCCGCGGUAAUUC
rnacentral:rRNA from 1 species